GACGAACGCUGGCGGCGUGCUUAACACAUGCGAGUCGAACGGAAAGGCCCUGCUUUUGUGGGGUGCUCGAGUGGCGAACGGGUGAGUAACACGUGAGUAACCUGCCCUUGACUUUGGGAUAACUUCAGGAAACUGGGGCUAAUACCGGAUAGGAGCUCCUGCUGCAUGGUGGGGGUUGGAAAGUUUCGUCGGUUGGUGAUGGACUCGCGGCUUAUCAGCUUGUUGGUGGGGGAGUGGCUCACCAAGGCUUUGACGGGUAGCCGGCCUGAGAGGGUGACCGGCCACAUGGGAAUGGGGUAGGGGCCAGGACUCUAAGGGGGGGAAGAGUGGGGAAUAUUGCACAAUGGGCGGAAGCCUGAUGCAGCAACGCCGCGUGCGGGAUGACGGCCUUCGGGUUGUAAACCGCUUUCGCCUGUGACGAAGCGUGAGUGACGGUAAUGGGUAAAGAAGCACCGGCUAACUACGUG
rnacentral:rRNA from 1 species